rnacentral:rRNA from 1 species
AUUGAACGCUGGCGGCAUGCUUUACACAUGCAAGUCGAACGGCAGCACGGGGGCAACCCUGGUGGCGAGUGGCGAACGGGUGAGGAAUACAUCGGAACGUGUCUAUAAGUGGGGGAUAACGCAUCGAAAGGUGUGCUAAUACCGCAUAAUCUCUCAGGAGAAAAGCAGGGGAUCGCAAGACCUUGCGCUUUAGGAGCGGCCGAUGCCUGAUUAGCUUGUUGGUAAGGUAAAAGCUUACCAAGGCUUCGAUCAGUAGCUGGUCUGAGAGGACGACCAGCCACACUGGGACUGAGACACGGCCCAGACUCCUACGGGAGGCAGCAGUGGGGAAUUUUGGACAAUGGGGGAAACCCUGAUCCAGCCAUGCCGCGUGAGUGAAGAAGGCCUUCGGGUUGUAAAGCUCUUUCAGCCGGAACGAAACGGUUACGAUUAAUACUCGUAAUUAAUGACGGUACCGGCAGAAGAAGCACCGGCUAACUACGUGCCAGCAGCCGCGGUAGUACGUAGGGUGCGAGCGUUAAUCGGAAUUACUGGGCGUAAAGCGCACGUAGGCGGAUUAGUAAGUUAGAGGUGAAAUCCCAGGGCUCAACCCUGGAACUGCCUUUAAUACUGCUAGUCUUGAGUUCGAGAGAGGUAAGUGGAAUUCCAAGUGUAGAGGUGAAAUUCGUAGAUAUUUGGAGGAACACCAGUGGCGAAGGCGGCUUACUGGCUCGAUACUGACGCUGAGGUGCGAAAGUGUGGGGAGCAAACAGGAUUAGAUACCCUGGUAGUCCACACCGUAAACGAUGAAUGCCAGACGUCAGCAAGUAUACUUGUUGGUGUCACACCUAACGGAUUAAGCAUUCCGCCUGGGGAGUACGGUCGCAAGAUUAAAACUCAAAGGAAUUGACGGGGGCCCGCACAAGCGGUGGAGCAUGUGGUUUAAUUCGACGCAACGCGCAGAACCUUACCAACCCUUGACAUCCUGUGCUACUACCAGAGAUGGUACGUUCCCUUCGGGGACGCAGUGACAGGUGCUGCAUGGCUGUCGUCAGCUCGUGUCGUGAGAUGUUCGGUUAAGUCCGGCAACGAGCGCAACCCACAUCUUUAGUUGCCAUCAGGUUAUGCUGGGCACUCUAGAGAAACUGCCCGUGAUAAGCGGGAGGAAGGUGUGGAUGACGUCAAGUCCUCAUGGCCCUUACGGGUUGGGCUACACACGUGCUACAAUGGCAGUGACAAUGGGUUAAUCCCCAAAAGCUGUCUCAGUUCGGAUUGGGGUCUGCAACUCGACCCCAUGAAGUCGGAAUCGCUAGUAAUCGCGUAACAGCAUGACGCGGUGAAUACGUUCCCGGGCCUUGUACACACCGCCCGUCACACCAUGGGAGUUGGUUCUACCCGACGACGCUGCGCUAACCCUUCGGGGGGGCAGGCGGCCACGGUAGGAUCAGCGACUGGGGUGAAGUCGUAACAAGGUAGCCGUAGGGGAACCU